rnacentral:rRNA from 1 species
UGCUCGAGUGGCAACGGGUGAGUAACACGUGGGUGAUCUGCCCUGCACUUCGGGAUAAGCUUGGGAAACUGGGUCUAAUACCGGAUAGGACCAUCGUUUAGUGUCGGUGGUGGAAAGUUUUUUCGGUGUGGGAUGAGCUCGCGGCCUAUCAGCUUGUUGGUGGGGUAAUGGCCUACCAAGGCGUCGACGGGUAGCCGGCCUGAGAGGGUGUACGGCCACAUUGGGACUGAGAUACGGCCCAG